rnacentral:piRNA from 1 species
UGGAGGACAUUUCUGAUGUUGUGCCAGAAC